rnacentral:pre_miRNA from 19 species
AACCGCACGCGAUAAUAGUAUUAUCCCGUGUGGUUGUCCUAAGCGGACCGCACGGAAUAAUCGAUUAUCCCGUGCGGCC